AUUGAACGCUGGCGGCAUGCCUUACACAUGCAAGUCGAGCGGUAACAGGUCUUCGGAUGCUGACGAGUGGCGAACGGGUGAGCAAUACAUCGGAACGUGCCCGAGAGUGGGGGAUAACGAGGCGAAAGCUUUGCUAAUACCGCAUACGAUCUCAGGAUGAAAGCAGGGGACCUUCGGGCCUUGCGCUAUCAGAUGAGCCUAGGUCGGAUUAGCUAGUUGGUGAGGUAAUGGCUCACCAAGGCGACGAUCCGUAACUGGUCUGAGAGGAUGAUCAGUCACACUGGAACUGAGACACGGUCCAGACUCCUACGGGAGGCAGCAGUGGGGAAUUUUGGACAAUGGGCGCAAGCCUGAUCCAGCCAUGCCGCGUGCAGGAUGAAGGCCUUCGGGUUGUAAACUGCUUUUGUACGGAACGAAAAGACUCUGGUUAAUACCUGGGGUCCAUGACGGUACCGUAAGAAUAAGCACCGGCUAACUACGUGCCAGCAGCCGCAGUAAAAC
rnacentral:rRNA from 1 species